rnacentral:rRNA from 1 species
CAGAUGUGAAAGACCCGGGGCGUCAACCUCGGAAUAGCAUUUGAAACUAGGCAGACUAGAGUACUGUAGAGGGGGGUAGGAAUUUCUAGGUGUAGCGGUGAAAUAGCGUAGAGAUCUGAAGGAAUACCGGUGGCGAAGGCGGCCCCCUCGGACAGAUACUGACACUCAGAUGCGAAAGCGUGGGGAGCAAACAGGAUUAGAUACCCUGGUAG